rnacentral:lncRNA from 1 species
UGCAUUUGAAGGUUGACUUAUCAAUAUUAGGGUCUGUCUUAGGAUGGUUGGUCUUGGAUUGGUCCUGCCAAUUUCGGGUUAAUUGUUGUCGGACUACCAUAGCUGAGGUGUCAGGGUUGUCAGAUUCUGCUUUCAUACUAGCAUGACGUACUGCCUCUCGUCGAAUCAGUGCAUAGCAUUCUUCCAAAUCGGGAAGAAGAUCUUUGCGUAGAAUCUCUCCUCGAACUUGCUCAAAGUCACCACCCAAUCCAG